GUACCUAGAAGUGGCCAUUCAGCGGUGGCCGUGUUUAUUCUAACUGCAGGAGGGCUAACGGCAGUGGGAAAGGCGGAACUGGACGGCUUUGAGUUUAGAGGUGACUCCGACAGGGGAGACAGGAGUGGGACGCUCGUGACCCCGCUCGGCUUGUUGUGUUUCCUCGUGAUCAGAAGCAGUUUAUUCCGAAUUGCAACUACGAUCCUCAGCUCUCUGCUAUGUAAAAUCUGGGCAGUCUGAGAAAAAGAUUAAUUGAACAGAAACCACUAAAAUAUGAAGAAUCGAGCUACCUUUCGUCUUCUCAAGCUUGUUCUCUCUGCACUCACACUUGCUCUUCACAGCCUGUUUGCCCUCGAUGCCCUUCUGCACAGCACUCAGCCUGAAGACAAAGAGGCGGGCGUCUUUUCCUGGUGAAGACAAAGCAGAUGGAGGAGGAGAUGAAGGGAAAAGUAAAAUGACCUGGAAGAGCUGAAAGAGCAGACUGUGUGGGAAAACUGCUGCUAGGGGAAUUAGGAUUUGGAAUGUUCUAGAAUUCGAGAGAAACUCCACACUGCCUUGACCUAACAGUGCAUUUAAGGAUGCCCCCCCUUCUCUCCCUCACCGUCCCCUCCUCAGAGAACAAAUAGGCCACCCAGGAACCCUGAGCACUGGGCACCAGGAGAAGAAACAGCUGGCACAACCCAUGGAAUCAGACCCCCACGACCCUCGGUGUCGGCCGCAGAAGGCUGCAUGCU